rnacentral:rRNA from 1 species
AUAAGAGGUCUCGCCUGCCCAAUGACCAUGAGUUCAAUGGCCGCGGUAUUUUAACCGUGCAAAGGUAGCGUAAUCACUUGUCUUUCAAAUGUAGACCUGUAUGAAUGGCGCGACGAGGGCUUAACUGUCUCCUUUUUCCAGUCAAUGAAAUUGAUCUCCCCGUGCAGAAGCGGAGAUUAUCCCAUAAGACGAGAAGACCCUGUGGAGCUUUAGACACCAAGACAGACCACACCAACACCCCAACACCCCAACUAAGAAACUAAACCUAUUAAAUUCCUGCCCUGAUGUCUUUGGUUGGGGCGACCUCGGAGAAACAAACAACCCCCGCGUGGAAUAGGAGCACUAGCCUCCCAAAACCAAGAGCUACCACUCUAAUUAACAGAACUUCUGACCAUUUAAGGAUCCGGCUUAUGCCGACUAACGGACCAAGUUACCCCAGGGAUAACAGCGCAAUCCUCUUCUAGAGCCCCUAUCGACAAGAGGGUUUACGACCUCGAUGUUGGAUCAGGGCAUCCUAAUGGUGCAGCCGCUAUUAAGGGUUCGUUUGUUCAACGAUUAAAGCCCU